ensembl:snRNA U6 U6 spliceosomal RNA
ACGCUCACUUUGGCAGCACAUUUACUAAAACUGGAAUGAUACAGAGAAGAUUCGUAUGGUCCCUGAGCAAGGAUGGAUGAGUAUUCAUGAAGCAUUCCAUAUUUUU